rnacentral:tRNA from 1 species
GCCGGCGUAGCUCAGUGGUAGAGCGAGGGUCUCAUAAUCCCUAGGCCGUGGGUUCGAUUCCCUCCGCCGGCACCA